rnacentral:rRNA from 1 species
GACGAACGCUGGCGGCGUGCCUAAUACAUGCAAGUAGAACGCUGAAGGAGGAGCUUGCUUCUCUGGAUGAGUUGCGAACGGGUGAGUAACGCGUAGGUAACCUGCCUGGUAGCGGGGGAUAACUAUUGGAAACGAUAGCUAAUACCGCAUAAGAGUAGAUGUUGCAUGACAUUUGCUUAAAAGGUGCAAUUGCAUCACUACCAGAUGGACCUGCGUUGUAUUAGCUAGUUGGUGGGGUAACGGCUCACCAAGGCGACGAUACAUAGCUGACCUGAGAGGGUGAUCGGCCACACUGGGACUGAGACACGGCCCAGACUCCUACGGGAGGCAGCAGUAGGGAAUCUUCGGCAAUGGACGGAAGUCUGACCGAGCAACGCCGCGUGAGUGAAGAAGGUUUUCGGAUCGUAAAGCUCUGUUGUAAGAGAAGAACGAGUGUGAGAGUGGAAAGUUCACACUGUGACGGUAGCUUACCAGAAAGGGACGGCUAACUACGUG